AAUAGUACCCAGGUAGUCCACGCCGUAAACGUUGGAUACUAGGUGUGGCGUCCCGAUCAACGGAUGCCGUGCCGAAGCUAACGCAUUAAGUAUCCCGCCUGGAGAGUACGGCCGCAAGGCUAAAACUCAAAGGAAUUGACGGGUCCCCGCACAAGCGGCGGAGCAUGCGGCUUAAUUCGAUGCAACCCGAAGAACCUUACCUGGGUUUGAAAUCAUGGGAAAAGCUGUAGAAAUACAGUGUCCGUAAGGGCCCAUGACAGGUGGUGCAUGGCUGUCGUCAGCUCGUGUCGUGAGAUGUUGGGUUAAGUCCCGCAACGAGCGCAACCCUUGUCCUAUGUUGCCAGCGGUUCGGCCGGGGACUCAUAGGAGACUGCCGGGGAUAACUCGGAGGAAGGUGAGGACGACGUCAAGUCAUCAUGCCCCUUAUAUCCAGGGCUGCACGCAUGCUACAAUGGUCGGUACAACGGGCAGCGACCCCGCGAGGGUGAGCGAAUCCCACAAAGCCGGCCUCAGUUCGGAUUGGAGU
rnacentral:rRNA from 1 species